rnacentral:lncRNA from 1 species
UUACAAGAAAGAUACCAGAGAGGUCGUUAGCGUAUGUGUAUUGAAACGAAAGAAAGUUAAUCCGAGGAAGUUUACUGAAGACAAAAUAAAUGCAGACUGUGAUGAUGGAAUAGAAGUUGAAAGAACAGAAACAAACUUAUAACUGAAAAUAAAAGACAAAUGUCUUCAACGAUCAUCUUUGAUAAGAUUUCUCGUCUUAAACUAAAUUUUUUUCUUAUAUUAUAUUAAACAUAUUUCCCUAUAAAGUAACUUUAUUUUUUUUACAAUCAAUAUAGCAAUAUGCAACUGAAAGACUGUAUAAACUGCAAUAACAUCAUUUAAGCAAGUUUCUGUGCAUUAUUAUUUGACUGUGACACAGAAAACCCGAACAUUUUGUUUGAUUUGAAAUCUCUGUAUAUUUUCUUCUAACUACCAACUAUAUUUUUUAAUCCUUGAAUUUUUGUCAAUAAAAGAUCAAAUCUGUUUUCUUUUACUAUAA